GGAAUGUCAAAGUGUCAAAUGAACCAUCGGUUUGGCGCUCAAUUAUUCUUAAGCAUUCUUAGGAAACACGAACUUUUGAGGUAAACAUUUCUAGUGAAUUUUUGUCAUCAAUUUUCUUUUCUGUGGAUUUUUUUUAUAGAGAAGAUUCAAAUAAAUUUGUGUGCGGAAAUCAAGAACAACAUAUAACAAGCAAUGAGUGGCCAAGUUUUUGAACUGGACAACAAAACGGCAUAGCCUAAUUGCCAGCGAUUUUAUCUGGAUUCAAAGACAGCCGAUGUAAAAUUCGUGUUCAAAGGCAGUGACGAAAGUUUUUCAGCCCAUAAAAUCAUAGUUUCGGGUGUCAGCUCAUUGUUUGACGAUAUGAUCUUCGGACAAUUGCCCCAAAAAGGAGACAUUUUGAUUGAAGAUGCUUCUUCGGGCGCGUUCAAGGAGUUUCUACAAUUGUUCUAUUUGGACAAAGUGCUACUGUCUCCCAAUACAUCAUGGAAGUGGCCAGUUUGUGCAAGAAAUAUGCGGUGAUCGGUAGAUUAAGACUCUGCGAACAACAACAACAACAACAACAACAACAACAACAACAACAACAACAACAACAACAACAACAACAACAACAGUAACAGCAACAGCAACAACAACAACUACAAAAGUAAAAAAGUGUACAGGAUGGUCAAUUUAUUGUCCACGGUGAUUUUAAUUAUUAUAACAAUUAUAAUAAUUAUGGAAAUCAUAAUGGCCGGCAAUAUUAAUACCGUUCUUCCGCACCCAAUCAAUCCAAGCCCAAGGCAAUAUGAACUAGAUGGAUUAGUAUCGCUUUAAGCAAAUACUCGAAAUAUGUCAAAGAAAUUCAUUUUUCGAAUAAAUUCUACAUGUUUCUUAUUGCAUGUGUUUAUUUAUUUCAUCUGACAUUGAGAUAAAACUUGCUUUUUUGUACAAUUAAGAGGAAAAGUUAGGUUGAUAAUUAGGAAAUUUGCUUUUCAGCCGUUUCAACUCUUCCGAAAGACGUUUAAUCUCUUCAGACUGCUGCUUCAUAGCUGCCUCUCGUUGUCGAUCCCUUAUCACUAGCUCGGCAUUCCGAAAUUCAAGUUGGGCAAUUUCGUCUUGCAAAGUUCUAAGAAUAUUCAAUAAUCGAUCUCGUCGCUCAUUCAUACGUCGUUCUGCUUCGAUAUUCAUUUUCACUUCCCACUGGUUUUGAAUAA